GCGGUAUAUUUGAUAGUACCUUACUACUUGGAUAACCGUGGUAAUUCUAGAGCUAAUACAUGCUUAAAAUCCCGACUGUUUGGAAGGGAUGUAUUUAUUAGAUAAAAAAUCAAUGUCUUCGGACUCUUUGAUGAUUCAUAAUAACUUUUCGAAUCGCAUGGCCUUGUGCUGGCGAUGGUUCAUUCAAAUUUCUGCCCUAUCAACUUUCGAUGGUAGGAUAGUGGCCUACCAUGGUUUCAACGGGUAACGGGGAAUAAGGGUUCGAUUCCGGAGAGGGAGCCUGAGAAACGGCUACCACAUCCAAGGAAGGCAGCAGGCGCGCAAAUUACCCAAUCCCGACACGGGGAGGUAGUGACAAUAAAUAACGAUACAGGGCCCUUUCGGGUCUUGUAAUUGGAAUGAGUACAAUGUAAAUACCUUAACGAGGAACAAUUGGAGGGCAAGUCUGGUGCCAGCAGCCGCGGUAAUUCCAGCUCCAAAAGCGUAUAUUAAAGUUGUUGCAGUUAAAAAGCUCGUAGUUGAACCUUGGGCUUGGUUGGCCGGUCCAUCUUUCUGAUGCGUACUGGACCCAACCGAGCCUUUCCUUCUGGCUAGCCUUUUGGCGAACCAGGACUUUUACUUUGAAAAAAUUAGAGUGUUCAAAGCAGGCCUUUGCUCGAAUAUAUUAGCAUGGAAUAAUAGAAUAGGACGUUAUGGUUCUAUUUUGUUGGUUUCUAGGACCAUCGUAAUGAUUAAUAGGGACGGUCGGGGGUAUCAGUAUUUCAGUUUGUCAGAGGUGAUAUUUCCUUGUUAUUAAA
rnacentral:rRNA from 1 species